ACACAUGCAAGUCGAACGAUGAACACCGGAGCUUGCUCUGGUGGGAUUAGUGGCGAACGGGUGAGUAACACGUGAGCAAUCUGCCCCCGACUCUGGGAUAACCCCGAGAAAUCGGAGCUAAUACCGGAUACGACACCUCCUGGCAUCAGGUGGGUGUGGAAAGAAUUUCGGUUGGGGAUGAGCUCGCGGCCUAUCAGCUUGUUGGUGAGGUAAUGGCUCACCAAGGCGACGACGGGUAGCCGGCCUGAGAGGGUGACCGGCCACACUGGGACUGAGACACGGCCCAGACUCCUACGGGAGGCAGCAGUGGGGGAUAUUGCACAAUGGGCGCAAGCCUGAUGCAGCAACGCCGCGUGGGGGACGACGGCCUUCGGGCUGUAAACCUCUUUUAGCAGGGAAGAAGCGCAAGUGACGGUACCUGCAGAAAAAGCACCGGCUAACUACGUGCCAGCAGCCGCGGUAAUACGUAGGGUGCAAGCGUUGUCCGGAAUUAUUGGGCGUAAAGGGCUCGUAGGCGGUUUGUCGCGUCUGCUGUGAAAAUCCGAGGCUCAACCUCGGACCUGCAGUGGGUACGGGCAAACUAGAGUGCGGUAGGGGAGAUUGGAAUUCCUGGUGUAGCGGUGGAAUGCGCAGAUAUCAGGAGGAACACCAAUGGCGAAGGCAGAUCUCUGGGCCGUAACUGACGCUGAGGAGCGAAAGCGUGGGGAGCGAACAGGAUUAGAUACCCUGGUAGUCCACGCCGUAAACGGUGGGAACUAGAUGUGGGGUCCGUUCCACGGAUUCCGUGUCGCAGCUAACGCAUUAAGUUCCCCGCCUGGGGAGUACGGCCGCAAGGCUAAAACUCAAAGGAAUUGACGGGGGCCCGCACAGCGGCGGAGCAUGCGAUUAUUCGAUGCACGCGAGACCUUACCAGCUUGACAUUAUAGAGAAAGUGUAGAAAUAACACCUCCCCCGCAGUCUCUUAUAACAGUGAUGCAUGAUGUCGUCAGCUCUUCUUGAAUGUUGGGAUAGGUCCGCACGAGCCACCUUCGUCUAUGUUGCCAGCACGUUAAGUGGCA
rnacentral:rRNA from 1 species